UACAGAGGGGCAAGCGUUGUUCGGAAUUACUGGGCGUAAAGGGCGCGUAGGCGGCCUUCUAAGUCGAACGUGAAAUCCCCGGGCUCAACCCGGGAACUGCGUCCGAUACUGGAAGGCUUGAAUCCGGGAGAGGGAUGCGGAAUUCCAGGUGUAGCGGUGAAAUGCGUAGAUAUCUGGAGGAACACCGGUGGCGAAGGCGGCAUCCUGGACCGGCAUGACGCUGAGGCGCGAAAGCCAGGGGAGCAAACGGG
rnacentral:rRNA from 1 species